GUGCAGCAGGCGCGAAUACUUUACAAUGUGCGAAAGCACGAUAAGGGAACUCUGAGUGCCUCCUAAGGAGGCUGUUCAGGUGUCUAAAAGCACCUGAAGGAAGGGCUGGGUAAGACCGGUGCCAGCCGCCGCGGUAACACCGGCAGCCCAAGUGGUAGCCACGUUUAUUGGGUCUAAAGCGUCCGUAGCCGGCUGGGUAAGUUCCUUGGGAAAUUUGGCUGCUUAACAGUCAAGCUUUCAGGGAAUACUGCCCCGGCUUGGGACCGGGAGAGGUCAGAGGUACUCCAGGGGUAGGGGUGAAAUCCAUUAAAUCCUUGGGGGACCACCGGUAGCGAAGGCGUCUGACCAGACCGGGUCCGACGGUGAGGGACGAAGGCUAGGGGCGCGAACCGGAUUAGAUACCCGCGUAGU
rnacentral:rRNA from 1 species